AUUUCUAAACCCUGUCCCACUUUUCGAAUUUUUAACGUCAUACAAAUAUCCAGAGGCCACGUAAGCCUCGAAUAUCCGCUGCUUCAUAUAACUUUGGUUUCACCUAGUAAACAGAAGUCGACGUAUCCCACUUAACGUUACGUUAGAAUGAGUAGCGGGUCCCAUUAGAAUUUAUCUGUGCUGAUGGAGUCGCUUUUGUGUUGAGUAGCUCCAUGAUACUGUGCUAAUGGAAUCGGUUCUGUGUCGAGUAGCUUCGUGAUACAUAGUAGCUUCAGAUUUUUCAACGCGCUCCACUAGGAAGAAAAUUAUUUCUUGAGCAGCGUCGCCCGUGUCCUCCGUGCUUGUGUCAGGUAUAUGCUGUAGCUAAGGUGCCAAGCAUAAAAAAUUUCUGAAAUGGAAAAAUGCAGCUAUUGGUGGAAUAACAAGCUUUUUCCCAAAAUCAAAUCCUGUUAGUGUUGCACCUUCCAGUUCCCCCAAGUCUUACUUGUGCUUCGGAAAAUUCAGAUACUUUAGAUGACGCUGUUAGGAGGUUAAAAGAUGUUUUGGAUGCUGUAACUUUGUGCCGUUUAAAAGUGGUGACUCUUAUAGAUCUAGCAAUGUCGUGGGCAAACUCUUCUCAAGUAUAUUCCCUGACAAUGUUAUAGCAAGACGCUUUUCUUGUAGUAUGAAAAAGCUUGCUAAUCUCUGCCAUUUUGGAUUAGCACCUUAUUUUCAGAAUCUCGUGUAUGACGGAUUAAGAAGCUAUCCCACUAUACCUUGUUACUUGACGAGACUUUGAAUAGAAUAAAUAAAAAAAGCAAUUAGAUUUGCAUAUCAUAUAUUGGCAGUCUCAUCAAAAUUAAGUUGUAACUCAAUUUUUGACCUCUAUUUUCAUGGAACAUGUAACUGUUGCUAAUAUUUUCCAAAGUUUUCAAAGGGCAUUUAAAAGCUAGAUAUAUAGAAAACUGCUACAGAUAAGUGUGUAUGGGCCAGCCAUAAAUUGAAAGUCUUAUGAAACCAUUCCAAUAUGAAUUGAAAAAGGAAUAUGGCAUUGAAUAUAUAUCUGUUAGUAGUUGUGGCUUGCAUAUUUUGAACAAUGCUUUCCAUAAAGAAGCAUCCACUACAAGCUGGGAUAUACCUUCUAUUUUAGAAGCUUUAGAAGCACUGUACCAUCUACUCAAAGAUUCUCCAGCACGUUGGAAUUUUUUAACAUCGAGUGUGCAUAAGUGUAAAAUUUUGUAACUAUAGGUUUAGUGAAUGUGCCAAGAUGUUCGCGUGUUUUUGAAAUUUGGGAAGAUAUAAAACGUUAUGUCAAACUAAUUGAGAAUGGAAAAUAUGCAAAAAUAAAUUAUGUGAAAUAAGAGAUACAAUUAAAGACAAAUUAAUGCCUGUAAAAUUCCUUUUUUUCAUUUGUGUGGCUGAAUUGGUCAGCCGUUUUUGGAACUGUACUAAAGUGAUGGACCGCUUGUUCCUUUUAUUGCUUUUGAUUUACACAAAUUAGUAAAGCAACUUUUGCAUCAUUUCAAAAUUGUAAAAGAAGAGUACGUGUUAAAAAUCAGUUCAUCCUUUGUGUGAGUUUCAGAAAGGCAUCAUUAAUGAGAUAAGCAAAAUUAGUUUAAGAUUUAGGACUGAUAAGUUCUUGCAAGAAUUAUACACUAGGAAAGAAAUCAUGGGAUUUUAAUUAAAAGAAAGAUUAAAUUCCUCUUAAACGUUACUCACAAACUUUCAUUUUGCAGCUACUUGUAAAGCUGAUGGAGAAAUGUCCAGUUAAUUAUUCACUAAUUCGAAAUGUGGUUUCUAUUAAUCCAAAGUAUAUAGCCAGCAAAACAGUACAAAUGCGUACGAGAAACUGAAAAGUAUAUUGAUGCAUUUUUCCCCGAAAGGUCACAUUGCAGAAGAAUGCGGUAGCAUCUUUUUGGAAUUUUCCAAUUUCGUCAAAAAUGUUGUCCAGCUAUACCUUACAGAAUUAAAAACCUAUAAUGUGAAAAAAAUGAGAUUAGACACUUUUUGGCACACAUUCAUACAUGAAAAAUUUUUUUAAGUUAUAGAAAACAUUUAGAAUGAUCUUUACUCUUUCUCUGUUGAAUGAGUAUUUAGUAUCAAUAAAAUAUAGAAACAGACAAUCUGGGGGAAAAUUCAAACAUUGCCCAGCGAAUAGUAUUCUGUGAAAAAUGCUGGUGGGAUACAAAAUGUAUCAGUUACGAAAGAGCAGCAGCUUCAUCAGCUCAUUCACAGUAUCAGUCAUAUAUGGAAGAGCAAGGAAAACAUUUCAAGAUAAGAAAAAGAAAAGCAGAAUCAACAGAUGACUUGCUUUCUCUUAAAGGAAAGAAAACUCGCUUAGAAAGAAGUGCUUGGAAAAAAGCAAAUGAACUUGCCGAAAAGGCUGGAGUUACAAAAGAUAAAUAAUAAUAAAAAUAAAUCUAAUGAAAGAUUAAAAUCUAUUUGUGAAACCCAAACUCUGUUAAGAGAACUGGAUUCAAACAUGAAUGAAAAGAGUUAAAAGAAAAUAAUAUUCAUUAAUAAGUAAAUCAUUUUUUCUUGUUUCUUUUUUUUUAUGUUGUAAAGUACUUUGUAUGAAUAUAAUAAAUAUGGUUCAUUAUUUUUUA